GAUGAAGAACGUAGCGAAAUGCGAUAAGUAAUGUGAAUUGCAGAAUUCAGUGAAUCGUCGAAUCUUUGAACGCACCUUGCGCCUUUUGGUAUUCCGAAAGGCACACCUGUUUGAGCGUCAUGAAUACCUCAAUCUCCAUCUUUUCUUCGGAUUGAUGGGUGACUUGGAUGUUGAGCCCUGCUGGUAUGCUAUAUCAGCUGGCUUUAAACUUAUUAGCCGGCUCUGUACUGGAUCGGUUUGACUCGACGUGAUAAUAUUAUCGUUGAGGAUGCAUGUCUCAUGCAGCCGGAAAGUAUCAAAGCAGCUUCUAGCUUGCCUUUAGUGCACUUUUACAUUUUAGACCUCAGAUCAGGUGGGACUACCCGCUGAACUUAAGCAUAUCAAUAAGCGGAGGA
rnacentral:misc_RNA from 1 species